rnacentral:lncRNA from 1 species
UAUGUAGAUUGUUUGAAAAUACUAUAAGUUUUAGAAAAGGCUUCUAUUUUACAUGGGGGAUUCCCCUUCCUGUACUACCUGGAGCAACCAGCUGGUGGAAGGAGGCAGCAGCAGCAGGUACAGAUCCCUCUGCUCUUGGGAACUCACAACUCAUGGAGGAAGUCUCAUUUCUGCCUUACGAUGAUUUUCUGUUUGAAGUCACUCCAAACCUCUUGUGUUAUAAGACUCCGCAUUUUUCAUACAGAUUGUUUUUGGGAGUAACAUCACUGGAUUAUGAAAUGAACCCCCUGGACCCACUUUUGAAUACCUGGUUUUUUUUUGAAAACAGAUGGAAGACCUUAACAGGAUUACAAGAUGGAUAGCAACCUAAUACAUCAGGCCAAUAUUUACUUCAUGUAGGAUGGAGAAUACCUUUGUCAAUGAGAGAAAUGCAGUAAUUCCUUCACAAACAGGUCACUCUAUGUGUGUCUUACUAAAUUAAAUGUUAGAAACAGUCCCACCUCAAAAAAUAAAAACACACCAAGAAAACA